CGCACCGGCCUCAACCCCUUCGAUCUUGGCUCAGAGUGAACGCUGGCGGUAGGCUUAACACAUGCAAGUCGAACGGCAGCACAGGAGAGCUUGCUCUCUGGGUGGCGAGUGGCGGACGGGUGAGGAAUACAUCGGAAUCUACUUUUUCGUGGGGGAUAACGUAGGGAAACUUACGCUAAUACCGCAUACGACCUACGGGUGAAAGCAGGGGAUCUUCGGACCUUGCGCGAUUGAAUGAGCCGAUGUCGGAUUAGCUAGUUGGCGGGGUAAAGGCCCACCAAGGCGACGAUCCGUAGCUGGUCUGAGAGGAUGAUCAGCCACACUGGAACUGAGACACGGUCCAGACUCCUACGGGAGGCAGCAGUGGGGAAUAUUGGACAAUGGGCGCAAGCCUGAUCCAGCCAUACCGCGUGGGUGAAGAAGGCCUUCGGGUUGUAAAGCCCUUUUGUUGGGAAAGAAAUCCAGCCGGCUAAUACCUGGUGGAUGACGUACCCAAGAUAGACCCCAUC
rnacentral:rRNA from 1 species